AGCACCCUCAUCAGAUAAUAAAGCAACUGCUGUAACUCAAGGUCAAAUGAUCCUUAAUCUAAAACAAUCUCUAAAUGACAUAAGAAGGGCUUUAACUUUAGCAUCCACUGCAUUUGAAGCUGUGUUUCAUCUCUCUACAGAGUAAAGUCAAUAAUAUGAGAAUCAUAAACCAAGCAGGACUGCAAAUCCUCUUAGGCUGCCUGCUGGAAAGCAAGUUUGUGCUGACUGUGGAUUCACCACUGACUCACUCAAGGUUUAUGUGCCUCCUCUUCUUACUGCGGCCAGACAACAAGUACACCACCCCAAGACUACUGGGAAAACAUAAAUAUAACCAAUCACAACCCUCAGGUUCCAGCAGGUUCAGAAGUAAUCGGGUUCAGAAGUAACAGACCGAAAACAGUGUUUUAAAUUGGGAAUCCACUCAAAGUAAUGUCUUCUCUUUGUGGAGCUCAGAAAUUAGCGUGUGUACUUAAAAUGCUGACUCAGACGUUGGACAGGCCAUUUACUUUCUUGAGUUCAAACUACGUUAAAGCUUUUAAUAAAACUCUGAGGGAAAUUCCACUGCCAUACAA